rnacentral:rRNA from 1 species
AUACGGAGGAUCCGAGCGUUAUCCGGAUUUAUUGGGUUUAAAGGGUGCGCAGGCGGGAGAUUAAGUCGGCGGUGAAAUUUUGCAGCUCAACUGUAAAAGUGCCUUCGAUACUGGUUUCCUUGAGUGUGGAUGAAGUAGGCGGAAUUUGUGGUGUAGCGGUGAAAUGCUUAGAUAUCACGAGGAACUCCGAUUGCGCAGGCGGCUUACUAAACCACUACUGACGCUCAGGCACGAAGGCGUGGGGAUCAAACAGGAUUAGAUACCCUGGUAGUCCACGCAGUAAACGAUGAUUACUGGCUGUUUGCGAUACAAUGUAAGCGGCUGAGCGAAAGCGUUAAGUAAUCCACCUGGGGAGUACGUUCGCAAGAAUGAAACUCAAAGGAAUUGACGGGG